AUUGAAACAACAAUUAUGCAACAACAGCGUGCUAUUGGCCAACAAACGCAUUACAAAUAUCGCGAUUUAUCAUAUUUCAUAGUUAGUUUUUUGAACUACCAACGUGCAAAUACUCGAAUCUUGAUUUAAGCAGACUAAAAAUCAAAAUGUCAAAAAUAAUUUUAUUAUUGACAAUUUUCGCUUUAUGUAGUUUCUAUGCUUAUGGAGCCGACGAAUGUCACGGUGUUUGGUGUCAUCCUUCUGGAGGCUUUAGUUGCGAAUGCCCGGGUUAUGAAUGUAGUAAUCGAAUGGGGAAAGGAAUUUGCCUGACUCACGAUGAAAUACUAGAAGAGACAUACUCUCAUUCAAAAUAGAUAAAAUAGUAACUAAAAAUUUACGACGGAAAAAUGGCACCUCUUGGAUUUUACAAUAUGUCUUUAUAGUUAUAUCAAUAAAUACCAUAAUAAAAACAA